UACGGAAGGCAGCAGUGGGGAAUAUUGCACAAUGGGCGCAAGCCUGAUGCAGCCAUGCCGCGUGUAUGAAAAAGGCCUUCGGGUUGUAAAGUACUUUCAGUCGUGAGGAAGGUGUUAAGGUUAAUAACCUAGCAAUUGACGUUAGCGACAGAAGAAGCACCGGCUAACUCCGUGCCAGCAGCCGCGGUAAUACGGAGGGUGCGAGCGUUAAUCGGAAUUACUGGGCGUAAAGGGCACGCAGGCGGUUAAUUAAGUUGGAUGUGAAAUCCCCGGGCUUAACCUGGGAAUGGCAUUCAAGACUGGUUAGCUAGAGUCUUGUAGAGGGGGUAGAAUUCCAUGUGUAGCGGUGAAAUGCGUAGAGAUGUGGAGGAAUACCGGUGGCGAAGGCGGCCCCUGGACAAAGACUGACGCUCAUGUGCGAAAGCGUGGGGAGCAAACAGGGAUUAGAUACC
rnacentral:rRNA from 1 species